CAACACUUCACCGGUCUUAACUUCAUAGAGAGAAAUACGACAAAGAACUUCUCAUGGAAUUCCAGCCACUUUCCCUGACUCGUGCUGAUUUUGUAGAGCCUCACUGUCUCUUGUGGAUCGUGCUACUGCUAACUGAUUUGUGCUUGAUGUUUGCUGUUGACCUUGACUGCUGGUAUCCUGACAGUGAAGAAAAGAAUUUCCCCAAAGAACUACUUCUAAACAGGAACCUAGCAUAACUGUCUCCUGAGAGACUUCAUCCAGCAACAGAUGGACGCAGUUGCAGAGACCUGCACUCAAACAUCAGCAACCAGGACCACCUACCCAGGAAUAGUACUGCCCAAAAUGUCCUCCAACAUCAAUCAUUAAUCAGAAAAUUGAGGUUCUGUCAUUCAACAUGACUUUAGCUUGCAUCCUAUUGACAUAAAACUAGACAGCAAAACAUCUAACCAAAUGAUGGAUAAACACUUGGCUGAGAAAGGAAUGAAGAGUAGAGGAACACUCAUGCUUGUUGGAAAAGAUCUAAGACUCUUUUUGAGUAGACUACAAGUAUCACCACAACAAAGGUAUAAUGUGGGAGUGUAUGAAUGCCACAGUAUAUGUCUGAGGCUCAGAAGACGACACAGUGCAGUCAGAUUUCUCAUUCUGCUUUUGUAUGGGUUCUGGGGCCUCAGGUUUCCAGGCAUCUGGAGCAAGAGCCUUUACCACCUGAGUCAUCUUGGUGCCUCUCUGGGUCUCAAAAUGAUGCUGAUGAAAAUGCUACUGCUGCUGCUGCUGCUGGUGAUGGUGGUGAUGGUAGUUGUGGGGAUGGUAAUGGUACCUAAGGGUUUUGUUUCCCUUCAGCUCUAACCCAUGUCUUCUGGGAUUACUCCAUUAUACAGCAUAAAGAGAGGCAGGUUAGUGCAGUGGAGGUAAGCGAUGAGGAGCUGCUAGCCUAUAAGGGAUAUUUUAUAGGGCCCCAACCCCUAACAGUAGAUUUAGGAGGUAGGCAGGGUACUAGAGCUGAAUAUUUAGUUGUGGCAUAAGUCACUGUAUUUACGUCCUAAGAGAAAGAAAUCACAUGAGAAAGAGAGAGAUCUGCUGGAUAAAGUGCCUCUAGGAGAAGAUAAUCUGGGACAAGCUUCAUCUAUAGUAGAUUUACUUCAUAUGAGUGUCUGAACAACUAACCCCAUAGAAGUUGGACAGAGUACUUGUCUACACCUCAGUCUACAGAGGUGAAGGUACAACCUGCCAGGAUUGUGGUAACACCAUGAGGGUCAUGGUAGAGAAGCAUAUGAAAGCCCUUGCUUUUGCUUGCUUUCACCAGCAAAACUGACUGUUAGCCUUUGAAAACUGACUCGCUCAUGUGGAUGAGGUCCUUGCCAAGCUGUCAUCUUCUCUGUGAAGUCCUUCUGGGUGGGGUAACCAUGAGGACUUACAUACUCUGGUAAAGCUAGUUCCUGGAUAUUAGAAAUGAGUACUGCAGCAACCUGGGGUAUUGGUGUUGAGUUCAUUUACUCUGCUUAAUGGUACUGAAAUUGAAUACCUAAGACUGGGUAAUAUAAAAUGUCCUAGAGGCUGAGAUAUCAGGAUGUGUACCAUGAGGGCCUUCCUGCUCAGUCAUCGUGUGGUGGAUGGUAUCACAGGGUGGAAUGUGGUAGAAGAAUCAAUCAAGGAACAGGUUCUGUCUAUCCUCUUCUUUUGAUCAGCUAAUAUCACCAUGAGGGCUGUGACUUUAUGAUUUCUCUAACUCUGAUUGUGUGCCCUCUACCAGAGGCUGCCCUUUAAAUAACAUCAUUAUAUGAAUUUAUGAACUAAGGCUUUAUGUUUGCAACAGAAGGAAUUUUAGGACAACCUCAAGCCUUAUCAGAGCUGUCUUCUUUGUUAAUCUAAGGCAAGUGUCAGCUACAUGGUACACUUCUCCAAACUGCUGCUUUCCUUUGUAGCAAUUAGCACAAGCCUGUCCUAGUGAUGUGAAUGCCUCACCAGGCCUGUGUUUCUAGCACCUGCCUCUUACUUGGUCCACAUUGCUAUGCAGUGCACAUUUAUAGAAAGAACAAUAGUAUAUCCUUCCUUCCCCCAAAAUGAUCUUUCUGUGCCUCUAGGUCUUGGCUCAUGGCAUUCCUUGUUCCAUAAGUGUUUUAUGCUGCCUUCUUUGUCUAAAAACCUAUUUACUCUUGACAACCAACUCAGACAUCAGUUCCUUUUAACCUGUAGGAAGUAGCCUGGUUUCUGAAGACCUCCUGCAUGCCACAAUAUUUGUUGGGUAAAUGACUCUAUAUUUGUCUCUGUAAAUGUCAGUUUUACUGGCUUUGGUCCAUCUCUUUUGAAUUAUUUUUGAUUCCUUAUUUGUGAUCUAAUCUAUUAGUGACCUGUAACAGGCCAUGUCACCCUCAAUUAAAUAAAUGUGCACUCCGUGGA